rnacentral:lncRNA from 1 species
CUUUAUUCUAUAUAGUAUGUAUAGAUAUAAUCAGAGGAGUUCCAAAUAGUGUCAAUAAACAUUUGGUUCAAGAUUCAGAAAAGAAUAUCGUAACUUUAACUUAACGGUAAGCCAUUUAGCAAAGCAGUGUUUGCUCUAGCAUUGACAACUUUUCGAAAAUCAAAUGGAGCAGUAGAUACAAAGAGCUUUUAAUUAUAUAAUACAUGUUUUCCAAAAUUUAUUAACAUGUUAAGUAUUAUAUAGCAAUCGUGCGAUAUUUGUUUUCGUGUUUGCAUGGUAACACAUACUUAAACACAUAGUGCAAUAUUAAUUUACAUUAUUUGUCUAAAUAUUUUAAAGGGACAUUUUACAAUACAUUUUUUAAUCCUGAUACACACCAUUGCAUUUGUUAAACAGGGAAGUAAAAAUGUAUUUAAAUUUCAUAUAUAUAAUUAAUUUUAAAUGUGUUUCAUUAUAUCGUCCUUAAUCUGUGUGUAUAUAUAUAUAUAGAGUCUAUAAGAAUCUACCAACCAGUAAUUGGGUAUUGAUCAUCAAAUACAAUACUACACAACAGGAAAAAUUAAUAUGAGUCUGAAAGAUUGUGUAACAAUACCGAUAAAUAGAUGGAAAACAAAACACUAAAAAGUGUUGAAUAUCAUUGCACAAAGAUGGAAAAACUGAACAGAUGAUAUAAAUUAUACAUAAUUGCAAUAUUUCGGCUCAACAAAUGGCCUUCUUCGGUGACAAAAACUUUUAACAAUAAUGAGAUAUAAUGUAUAAGGUUAAACAUAGAUCACUAAUAAUACAGGUAAUUUUGGUCGUUGAUUUUAAUCCAAUCCUGAAAACAUGGGUGUCCUCCAUCCAGAUGGAAUCAAUAGAAAGAAAUAAUUAAAUUUACAGUCUAGUGUUAAUAUUAUUAUAUUCAGGAUUUUGGAUUAAAAUCAAUCGACCAAAUUACUUGUAUUAUUAGUGAUCUAUGUUUACCUUAUACAUUAUAUCUCAUUAUUGUUAAAACUUUUGUCACGAAGAAGGCCAUUUGUUGAGCCGAAUUUUGCAAUUAUUGUAUAAUUUUAUCAUCUGUUCAGUUUUUCCAUCUUUGUGCAAUGAUUUCAACACUUUUUAGUGUUUGUUUUCCAUCUAUUAUCGUAUCGUUACACAAUCUUUCAGACUCAUAUAUAUAUAUAUAUAUAUAUAUAUAUAUCUAAUAUAAUACUUAAGUAGAUACCGUACGAUAAGUAAUAGUUAUACACCGAGGGAAAAGUGUGUCUGGAUAAGAAACCCCGUCGGCCGGAGGCCGGAGUGGUUUCUUAUCCAGACACGCCGUAUCCCGAGGUGUAUAACUAACUUACGCCCCAUUCUAAACUCUAUAUUGUUAAAAUUGAUUAUUAAAUGAAAAAAAACCUGAUAGCAUGUAUUUUAUUGACAAUAUCAAACCAUGAUUUAUAAGAUUUUCUUUUAUUACAUACAUGUAUGUAUAUGAAACCCCACUAGUAACCCUUUUUGUGGUUAUCUUUGUUCAAACUUUGACAAGUGAGUAUAUUUUACCAAUGUCAAAGUUGUUUUGCAUAUUCCUAUUAAAUCCAUGGGUUAAUAUGGAUCAGCAGGUCAAGGUUGACCGUAUCGUGUAUUCAUAUUACAAACAAAAAGUACGUCAUGCUCCUUGUAUGCAGUUGUCAAUAUGGAAGGGUAUGAGACGGGCGACAUUUUUUGGCAAGCGCUGGAUUUGGUAGAAAAAACCAAAGAUAAAGACAAUAUUGUAACCCAAAGUACUUACCUGUAUUAGUUUAAUAAAGGUAAUCAUAACUUUAUUUUUUAUCUUACGGUUUUAUAAAAAAAAGCCCCCUUUUUCUCGAGAAUAACUAAAAAUUCAUAUUCGGACCUACAAAGGGAUAAAUGUGUCUGCAAUAGAAACCCGACUACCAGACACGCUCAGCAUACAAAGAUACAGAUUUAAUAUUUUGUAACUCUCUCUUUUGGGGGCAGGGGCUGAUCCAACUGGGAUCCCAUUUCAACAGAAAGAGGGUUGGGUUCCAAUCAGUCAAAUAGAUUACAUUGAUCUUUUAAAUCGGGCCCAACCCGCGGAACCUCUACCCCUGAUCGGCCACUGGAUAACGAGGGGUGGGUUGGUACGAGAGUCAAAUUCGACCUUUAAAAAAAAAGAACACAUCAAUGCUUUAGAAUAGAGACAUAUGACUGGGAUAACAAUAUAUUACUUUCAGCAAAGAAGUAAUUAAAUGAUUAUUUUUGCAUUUAAAAUAUAUGCGUAAUUUUAUUUUAGAAAUUGGAAUUUCCUAGUGUUUUUUUUCUCAAUAUCUUGAAACAAUUUGUAGUGAACACUAUUAGUAAUUUCUUAUGUUCAUGCUAUUUAAAGAUUAAUCAAUUUCUAUUGUUACGAAUAACAAUGGACUUUUUUUGCGGGAUGUAGAAACAGGGUUUUCCAGAAACCCCGCUCAUCACAGCCUGUGGUCAAAUUCCAUUGUUAUUCGUAACAAUAGAUCUAUUCAAUUUACACCUGUUUCAAAAAAAGAAACUAUGAAGUAUAACAAUAGAACUGGGAUGUAAAUGUUGUACAGUCAUAAUGAUUGUACGUCACAACAUAAUUGAAGGUUAAUUAAUUGCUUUCAUUGUAUUGGUCGUUGAACCAGCUUUUAGAAUAGAACUACAAGUACUCUUAGAGUGCUUUUCUUUCAAACACAAACGAUGCAAACGGCUAAGCGCGCACAUGUUUUGAUUAUUUGUUUCUAACAUGCGUUUGCAAAAUUUACCUAAACUUUGACAAACUAUGCUAAAGAUGCGUCUACAGUUUCUCGUUCAUCGUUUGUUAGUACAAACGCUACAUUUGUUUCUUACUUCAACCUGAUUAAACGAUGUAUUUUUUUCUACGUUUUUAAAAAGUCUGUUUACCAACAAGAUGUGCCUAUUAAAACGAAGAUGUGAUAUGAUUGCCAAUGAGACAACUGUUCACAAGAGACCAAAAUGACACAGACAUUAAUAACUAUAGGAUACCGUACGGCCUUCAACAAUGAUCAAAGCCCAUACCGCAUAGUCAGCUAUAAAAGGCCCCGAUAUGACAAUGUAAAACAAUUCAAACGACAAAACUAACGGCCUUAUUUGAAAAAUAAACGAAAAACAAAUAUGUAACACAUGAACAAACGACAACCACUAAACUACAGGCUCCUGACUUGGGACAGGCACAUACAUAAAUACCCUCCCCUAACCUGGGACAGUGGUAUAACAGUACAACAUAAGAACGAACUACAAAAAUCAGUUGAUAAAGGCUUAACUCAUCAGAUGGACAAAAAUACAAUUAUUAAAAGUUCACCAAAGACUUAUUAAACGAUGUAUUUGUUUGUACUUUUGUAGCGUUUAGAAAACAACAACAAACGCCACACAAAGUUUACAAAAUUUUCGUAAAAAAGAAAUGCACCCUUAGAUUGUUUUAUCUACAUCCGUAGUGUAAAAUUGUUAUUUCAAAACCAAUAUUAGAUAAGUGCCGUUUGUUAAUUGUCACCAAGAGAUUCACAACUGAUUUUUAGUUUGUUCGUAUGUUGUGUUGCCAUAGUCCUGUAUAAUCAAGUGUUUUUUUUGUGGCUUCUUGGUUCAGUUUUUUUUUACCAUUCAUCGUGCGUGAAUUAUAAGUUGGGUUUUCUCGAUUGUAUUGUUUAAAUAUAUGUAGCUAUAUAUUUUGCUAAUAGUUAAAGUCUGAACGGUGACCUGUAAUUGUGCACACACUUAUUCUAUAGUAUAAAUGAACUUUUGUCUUCAUACCAUAUAUAAAUAUAUGAAGAUGUGGUACGAUUGCCAAUGAGACGACUCUCUUAUCCAAGUCACAAUUUAUAGCAGCAUACAAUUAUAGGACAUAUCCGCAUAUCUUUUAUUAUUAAUUCACGUUGAAUAUCAAAGUCAUCUGAGAGAUCAUUUCCUUCGUUGUGAUAUUUUGCCACGAAAGAGGAAACUGAUUUUAUAUUUUUUUGCCAUUUUGCUAUUUUGCCACAUCACUAUUACAAUUUCCUAGCACAGAUUUCUACUUCCAGAUGGACCGACCACAAAUAAGAGUUGAACUAGACGUGUGGGAGAAUUCUUUCGUAGAACAGUAUUACAAUCGAAACCAUGGUAUAGUUCCACAUGAAAAUCAAAAAGACGACCCUAAAUAUAACGAAAAGAAAAAACUGAU